CGUGAGCGGCGGACGGGGGAGUAACGCGUGGGUAACCGUGCCUCAUACAGGGGGAUAACAGUUGGAAACGGCUGCUAAUACCGCAUAAGCGCACAGUACCGCAUGGUACGGUGUGAAAAACUCCGGUGGUAUGAGAUGGACCCGCGUCUGAUUAGGUAGUUGGUGGGGUAACGGCCUACCAAGCCGACGAUCAGUAGCCGACCUGAGAGGGUGACCGGCCACAUUGGGACUGAGACACGGCCCAA
rnacentral:rRNA from 1 species